rnacentral:tRNA from 1 species
GGAUGGGUGGCCGAGCGGUUGAAGGCACCGGUCUUGAAAACCGGCAAGGGUGUGAGCUCUUCGUGGGUUCGAAUCCCACCCCAUCUGCCA